rnacentral:snoRNA from 1 species
CCGAAUGCAAUCAGUGUUCUACUCUUCUAUUAAAGAACCUGACUAUAUGGGCAGCAUGCUACAUACAAUAAAUGAGAAGGUAUUUUUAGGGCUGCUGACUUUUUAGUUGAGUUUAUGUGGCAGUAUAUUUCUUCUACAUUA